ACGAACGCUGGCGGCGUGCUUAACACAUGCAAGUCGAGCGGUAAGGCCCUUUCGGGGGUACACGAGCGGCGAACGGGUGAGUAACACGUGGGUGACCUGCCCUCAGCUCUGGGAUAAGCCCGGGAAACUGGGUCUAAUACCGGAUAUGACUCCACGGUGCAUGUCGUGGGGUGGAAAGCCUUGUGCGGCUGAGGAUGGGCCCGCGGCCUAUCAGCUUGUUGGUGGGGUGAUGGCCUACCAAGGCGACGACGGGUAGCCGGCCUGAGAGGGCGACCGGCCACACUGGGACUGAGACACGGCCCAGACUCCUACGGGAGGCAGCAGUGGGGAAUCUUGCGCAAUGGGCGAAAGCCUGACGCAGCGACGCCGCGUGAGGGAUGACGGCC
rnacentral:rRNA from 1 species